rnacentral:rRNA from 1 species
AUAGCAAUAGCUAAUUGUAUUAGCAAAUAGUUUUUACAAUAUCGAUUUAAUCGACUAAAAUUCUAGGUAGAUUUAUGAUGAUGACAUUAUCUAUCUAUGUGUCUUGACCAAAUUUCGUGCCAGCAGUCGCGGUAAGACGUAAGAGACUAGUGUUAUUCAUCUUUAAUAGGUUUAAAGCGUACCUAGACGGUAAUUAAAGCCUAUAUCAGGAACUUGUUUACUAGAGUUAAAUGUAAGGGUGUAUUAAAGUACUGUUGAGUGUAGAGAUGAAAUUCGUUGAUACCAAAUAAUUGGCACAGGUAUAGGCGAAAGCAUCACUUUAUGUAAUAACUGACGUUGACGGACGAAGGCUUUGUGUCGCGAACAGGAUUAGAUACCCCAGUAGUCUUAGCAGAAAACUAUGAGUGUCAUAGGUUAGAUUUUAUUUGGUCUAUAAAUGAAAGUGUAAGCACUCCACCUCAAGAGUAAUUUGGCAACAUUGGAACUGAAAUCAUUAGACCGUUUCUGAAACCAGUAGUGAAGUAUGUUGUUUAAUUUGAUAAUCCGCAAAGAACCUUACCACAAUUUGAAUAUAAAUGAUUUAUUUUUACAAGCGUUGCACGGCUGUCUUCAGUUAAUGUCGUGAGAUAUUGGUUUAUUCCAUUAAAUUAACGUAAACCCGUACUUUAUUUUUAUAUAAAGUUGUUCAUUCGCUAUAAUGGAUGUGAUAACAGGGACUAAGACAAGUCAUCAUGGCCUAAAUAUUGUGGG